GUCAAGGAUUUUUCAGUUUCCCAUGCUCUGACAAGGUGCAGGUGCACAAGAAGCUGGGAGGGGGAUGUUCAAUGCCACAGAACAUCAUUCUCAGUGUAUAAGAUGGGAGGAUUGGCUGUGACGGAUGAAUCCCUGCUCAGGGACAUGCUGUGCAUCAGUCAGCAGGGGAGUUCUUAAUUAUGCGUCAUAUUUUCUGGUGAACGGCCACUGGAGAGGAGAUAAAGCAUCCAUUACAGUUUUUGGAACUAAGGAUAAUUAUUCAAUGAAACCAAGUAAUGUAAGUGCAUUGUGAUAUUAUCGACCAUGGGAGAGAUGCUGCAGAAUUGCAGUGAAGAGGAAUAUGGUCUUUCAGACAAGACAUGAGCCAACAAGCCAUCAAAACAGCAAAAUUAGCUUCUGCUUAUUUUUCCACUUACUGACAAUGUCUUUGGGCAUCUAGGAGACAAAAUAUCAUUAAAAAACCUGCAAGAAAUAGAUUUCCCCAACAUGUAAUCAAAUCCCCUCUCUACUGCAAAUAUUUCUUAAGUCUGACUUGGAGCUUUUCAGCUCUGUAGCUGAUUUACAGAGUGUGUACACCCACACUAAGUUUAGUCACUAGACUCCAUAUGAGAAGCUAAACCUCAUUUGCUGACUGAAAAUUUACCGCAAAGCAGAAAACAGCAGGAAAUUCAUCAAACAUCUCUCACAAGGACACAAAUUGCUUAAAGGUGACUUUCCAGUCAUUUUGGAAACAUUUAAGAAUAUUGCUCUUUCUUUUCCCUGCAUAAAAAAGGGCUUAAACUCAUUGAUCUGAGUGCAAGAGGCAAACCCAUUUCUCUUCCCACUCGCUUUUACUUUAAAAUAUUAGCCAUGCAAGAAAAUAUCCCCUUUCAGACCCUUGGAAUAUUAUUUGGCCUGUGACACUUGAAGCGUUUGAUAGAACUAAAUCUUUCAAAACAACCCUGCUUUAUACCAUUAGAGAUACAGCUUAUACAAACCAACAAAACCUCCAGUGUCCAGCUGAGUGCCUCAUGGCACUUGGAUAAUUCUACAACACGUGCAGAUUAUUCCACAGCAGGGCAUGAUUAUUACCUCUGUGUAGCCUGCUGCAUUGUCAGGUGGUUCUAGUGUGCCCCUUUCCAUAUUAAAGGGUGAUGACUGCCAGAUUUGAUAGAUUAAGAUGAAGAUUUUCAGUGGUUUGCUGACCAUGGUUGUUUUGGGGACAUGGAUGGUUUUUAUUGUGAAUUCUGAACCAAAGGAGUGGGGGAAAGGAAGGGGCAAACUGGGAUACAGAGUCCUAGGUACCAUAAUUAUUCACCAGAAAUCUGAUUUUUGGGAGGCCCAUAGAAGAUACCACCACACAUACCAGGCCGUAAAACAUUUCCAUGUGUUCGAGUUUGAGACUGAAAGAAAAACAUUGCAAGAAUUCUGAGUAAAUGGUGGGGAAGAAUAAGUGAGAUCACAAGUUUUGUCAGUUUCUACAGCCCCUUGUGCAGCAAUGGAUUAGCGGAGUGAAACUGCCAUAGAUUCAACAAAACAAGUGUAUUUUCACACUGCAGAACAAAGGACAGAAAAGGCCCGAGGUUUCUUACUAAUAUUAGUUUUCUGUAAAUUUCCCCCUAAGAGUUUUGAAAGAACGGGAACAUGAGGCACUGAUGGUUCUGACUCAACCUCAAUGUGUAGAAAAAUUCCAAUACUUUCACAUUCUCAGUGGUAUAUAUAUAUAUUUUUUUAUUAAUUUAUUUUUUUUCCUUAAAAAAACCCAACCCACUCACAGCAUUGGGUUAACUAUUUAGUUUUACAGUACAUCUAUUCAUAAAUAUAAGGAUAUGAAAAUAAAAUAAGAGAAUAAGAACACCUGAGUUUUUUUCAUUAGCACUACACAAGAGUUUGAUUAAGAUACUAAGGGAAAAAGAAGGAUCAAUUCUCAAUUCUUUUCUGCAGAACAUCAUCUGUGUCUCCAUGGAAUGUUUAUUUUACAUAGGGACUUCAAGGCACACCAGCAUAUAGUAAUUAAUUAUUGUGUAAAGAGCUGAUAUUUAUAGGGAGAAUAGAAACUUGCACUCACACAGCUUGGUGGGAGAUUCCGUCCAUGUAGGAAUCUCACAUCAAAAACCAAAAUAAAAUUAAAUAAUGUAACACAAAACAAUGCAAAAAGGUACCAAGAACAGGUAGUGCAGGGGGAUUACAGAGAAAGUGUCCAAGCAGCCAGGGAUCAGAUCCUGAAGGAAUCCCAGAGGUUCCACUGCCAUUGCUCAUGGACCCAGCCUUGAGCAGCACUUGCUCUGAUGACAGAGGGGAAGCCUCUGGGAACUUCUCAGAAAACCCACCCCUGCAGCCCUUUGCUACCAAAACCUGGCCACACAAACCCAGUACAAAUUCACUGCCUGUGCUUUAUAAAGCAGAACAUUGCUGCACACUGAAUAACAGCAAAGCCAAGCACUGGUUUCCCACAUUUAUCUUUUUCCACUUAGGCUGCUAUCUGAGAUUAUCCAGCUCUUUUGGCAACUUGUUCAGCUUUUAGCAAUGUCCCCCACAGGUCAUAGGAAUACGUUUCUACAGUUUCCCACUGUAAAGAAAGGUCUGCUAUGGUGAAGUUGCCCACGUGCCUUUUGAACAACCUGUGGGAUUGUCGCUGUAACUAAAAUUGUCAAGUCUUAAGUCAAAUAAAAAAUAUCAUGGCAUUUAGCACAAAAAAUAAGCAAAUACAAGAAAACCCAAGAGAAUGCUGAAAAUCUAAGGGUCUACUAGAAAAAAAUCAACAAUUUUUAGACAUGCACAGAUGUGUGAAAUGAAAAUUAAAUUAGAGAGCCAAGUGGAAAGCUUAUGUUGAGAAAACAGAGAACUUAAAUCUUAAACAGCAUACAUACAGACACAGUGGAAGCUGAGUUGAGUGUCCCUCUAGGCUGUUGCAAAUUGAAUAGACAUUGAUGGAUUUGUUUUCCUUUCAGAUUAAAUUGAACUUUUGAUUUGGAAGUAGUUUACCUGCUCCUGUACUUGAAAGCUACAUUUUUUCUUAACUAAUUUUCUCUUGUUAAGGUACUUUAGUUUUAUAGUGGUUUAUAGUGGUUUACAAAUUGACACUGUAAUCAUCUGGAAGGAGCAGGGAAAGAAAAUCAUACAAAUUAUACUUUUCUGUAUUGCUUUACCCUCACAGUGGCUUGCCCUGUUUUUAAGAAGAUCAUUUUGUGCUGUUAUGCUUUUCAAUACACUUGAACUGAUUUCUAAAGUAAGAUAUCACAGCUUGCACAAAACACAAACCUUUCUGACCAUUUUAAGGUGCUGUUGCAUUACAUAAUAAUGUAAAUAACAUAAAUAAUUGUUCUAUUCUCAAAAGGUGUUGGUAUUCACUAUCAGCCUAGAGCUUCUGGCUGUGCAAACUUUGCAGACUUUAUACUUUUCGCUCUUCUAGCCCUUGCAGAGGUCUCAGACCUGUCCUUACACCUGUUCUGCCUACUCCUGGGCUUGGGCAUCUCUUCAUCCCAGCUCUGGAUCAUCUCACUAAGCAUGAUUCAGGGAAGCAUGUUGCUCUGCCCUGAAUCUUACAUCAGACUCAAGAUCAUGUCCUGUCUCGUGGGAAUGUGCUGUCAUGCCCUGGUUGGGCUCAAUGCCUGACAUGUCCCACUCUGAGACAGCAUCACGGGAUUAAAUUGGCAGGCAGGAGUGAAUUUUUCCAACAGUGACUUCAGUGUUGCUUUCCUAAAGGGCUGAGAGGUCUCCAAAUGCUUCCAGUGCAACUUCUGUGUGUGGAGAGCAGUCUAUUGAGGUGGAUGGCCUUCUGUCUAGCCUGAUCCUGUCCAGUUUAGAAACUUUCUAGCCAGCAGAAAACCUUACUUCAUCCCAGGAAACACAUGUUUUGAAAAGAGAAAAUUUUGUACUUGUUUUGUCAUUAUUAUCUUGAGAAGAGUGACAUCAAGGUAUUCCAGCCAGGACUGAGAUGCUGUUUGGACACAUCGUGAGCUAUAUUCCUUUCUAGGAAAGAAUAAAAACUGUUUUCCAAUCUAAAUUCAUAAGUAGAGAAAUAAUUAUUGUAUCCUACUGGCAUGCAGAGGAACUAAAGCACAGAGAGCUUGUUUGGCCUAGCUCUAAUCGUACAUUGGGUAUGUGGGGGAGCUGAAAAUCAGAUUUUCCAACACCAUUUUAGUUGCCAUACCACAGAUACUAAGCAUCAGUAUUAUCAAAUUAAAUAUUAAGACCCUACUUGUUUAGGCUACUCUGUCACUAAAUUCUACAGGAAUAUUCACAUACAGGAAACUAAGGUUUAAACUCACUCCAACAAAAUAACAACAAGUGGUUUGGUGACUGUGUUGAGAAUAUGAUCCUAACUUACAGGUGACUACAGGAGAAUAUGGUCCUAAGUUAUAUAGACUGGUUGGACCAACAUUCAGGAGCACUAUGAAUUAUAAUUGUACUUUAACCUUUCAGGAAGGCCACCAGAUUUCCUUUGCUUUGCACAGAGAUUUUCUUUGCUACAUGGUAUUUAGAACAUCUGUCUGUUCCAGGGAAAUAGCAGUCAGUGGGUUUUCUGCUUCAUGCACAGAUUAAUCUCUUAACAUCAAAAAUUAAUGACUUAUGUUCAAUGUAAAGAGAAAAAAAUCUUUGAUUACCAGAGCAUCCUGCCACAAUCCCUCCCAUGCCUUUCUUUUCAGGUGUUUUCCUCAGGAUAUAGGGAAGUGAAGGUGAAGAGAGAAUCCUGAGGUA